rnacentral:rRNA from 1 species
AAUCAACGCUGGCGGCGUGCCUCAGACAUGCAAGUCGAACGAUUAAAGCUCUCUUCGGAGAGUGUAUAGAGUGGCGCACGGGUGAGUAACACGUAAGUAAUCUACCUUUGAGUGGGGAAUAACAAUCGGAAACGAUUGCUAAUACCGCAUAAUGCAGCGGCAUCGCAAGAUGACAGUUGUUAAAGGAGCAAUCCGCUUAAAGAGGAGCUUGCGGCAGAUUAGCUAGUUGGUAAGGUAAUGGCUUACCAAGGCUACGAUCUGUAUCCGGUCUAAGAGGACGGUCGGACACACUGACACUGAUUAACGGGUCAGACUCCUACGGGAGGCAGCAGUCGGGAA